UGGAUAAAGGAAGACAAUUUAAUUUGAUACAUUUAAAUAUGAAAAACAGAAACAAAGCCAUUUGGGUUUGUGUUAUGUUGGGUUGUUGUGGUUUGUAGGGAGAAGUGGUAAUAUUUUAACCCCUUGAUAGACUGGAGAUGUUUGUACAAGGGUUGUAGUAUUUUGCAGGGGUUAUGACAUCAGAGAACUGUGAACAUGCAAAUGUGUUGUUAAAUGAUUGAAAUGUUAACCUAAAAUUUACUUUCAAGUAAAUAUUGUGCCUCAAAAACCCAAAAGAACCCCUUAUCUACUGAUUCAUUAUUUUGCAGUGUCAUCAUUUAGUAGAAUAUAUAG
ensembl:lncRNA